CCAGGAUCACAAGCACAGGGCUCAGAAACUAUGAUUAGCUCGCCCUGGGUCUCUGAGCUCGUCCCCGUGCCGGGUUGCCAAGGUGCUGGAGGAGGCACCUGUGUAAUGAGACCUCUUUUCUCUUAUUCUCCAGGUGACUCAUUUCCCAAGCACUUUUUCAGGGAAAGAAGAGAAGAGAAGAUGCCAUGCCCUGCUACGGGGGAAAGGGCACCCUGACAGUGUGGGCAGGUGUCACCUCCCGGCCUUCUGGGGGCCCAGAAGCAAGGAGGGGGCUGAGCAGGGCUUCCUGGAUGCAGCGGCCGGCACUGCUCACGGAGAGAUACUGGCUGGUGCUGACGGGGCCUGGGCGCGAGGCUCAGCGCAGUUCAGGAGUAAACCGGAGGUGCCACCUCCACAAGAGCAGAGAGGAGAGAUGACUCCUGCCAAGCUCCUUUCUUUUGCAUCCAGACACCACAUGUCCCGCUCUUGUCCUCGGACUCCAGCAGCUAAGGGGGUAACACCUGGCAUGGCAGGGCUUCUGAGACCGGUCGAGGUGCAUUCUGGUCUGGAGGUGCCUGGACUCACGGGAGGCCAACACUGUCAGUGUCGCCAGAAGGGCUCUCUGCACGGGAAGCCCUCAGGGAACUUCCUUCUCCAUUGUGCGUGUGCUCUGAUUAUUGUUUCAAGACGGGUUCAGGCCCUGGGAGGAAGAGAGGCUACACUAGCAGGCCCCAGAACUGUAGUGCAGCUCAGCCUCGCUUCUGGAAAGAGCUCUGGGCAUCAAAUAUGAAAAUCCACAUUUCCUACUUGAUUUUCUUCUUGGUCACAGUAAUUAGGGCCUCACUCUGCAAACCAAGAGAGGACGGGACGGCAUCUGCACAGAAGGGACCUGUGUCCAGGCUCAGUGUCCCCCACCCCCGUUCCCUCUGAGAUGUGUUCCCCGGGAGCCAUUUCCUGAGCUUGCUGACAGAGCCGUUGUCGGCACAGCGCUGGGCACAUUCCAGGGAGUCUUGCCGGUGAGGCCCUUUCUCUCAGCCCCGUUUCAACAAACAGACACCGCCAUAGCCUGCUCUCGGUGUGGGGCUGGCAGCGCAGGCCUCGGCGGCAGGGAACAUAAAUGGCUGUGGCCGGAGCAGCAGACGUGGGCCUUCCAAGCUGUGACAGCCCCACGAGCAGGAGCAGGCCACGAGGGGCUGCAGAUCCUGGGGCUGGGGCCAUGGGCUGGGGCCGGGCCCUGGCCUUUGCAGAGGGGGCCUGGCACUCCCUCCUGGGGUGAAGCCCUUCUUCAGAGCAUCAGGAAGUCCGAAUGUGCGCUGUGAUUCCCGUGGCUGCGGCCCAAGAGCACCCUCCAGGCAGAUGGGAAGUCUGUCCUUCUGCAUGGAUGUGAAGGAGGCUGCUCAUCUUUGUGUCCUGUUUGGAAAAGUCAGAGGCCCAACAAACGGAGACUGCUUAUUCCAUUUGGGUCCCAGGCCCAGAGCUGAGAAGGGUGGAAUUUAGAUCUUCCUCGGAAAGUUCGCAGGAAUUAAACCUGUCCAGAGAAGCUUCCCUGUGGGGAAUGGCUGACCCCUGGAGGUGUCACCAAGGCCUCCUCUUCUGCAGAUUAUGAAGAGAGUAACCUGUGUUAGGCGGGCAGGCAUGACUCUCGGGGCCUUUAUGUGGCAACACUGCUGGUUGACCUCAGCCUCAGCUUAGCCCAGCUCUGUGCUUCUCGUGGAGUAGAAACCUUUUGCUAUCGCCGGACCCCACCAGUGCCCCAUCUCUUACAAUCUGAGCAGGGAUUUUAGACGUCCCUGUGGUCCCCGGUAGCACCCCCACACCCACGGAGCAGAGGCGCCACGCAGCGUUGCAUCCCUCCACACACAAGAGCGGAACUGGAGGAGCCUGGAGCCUCACCAGCCCCUCCACCCUGUGCGUGCCGGACGGCAGCCUGGCUCCGUCCCCUUCCUGCCCGGGACCGUGUCCCCAGGGUACCCUGCACCUUUUCUCAUCAUCCCAUCAUUAUGCCCAAGGUGACGGCGCUUCUGGUCCCUCAGGGGAAGCAGAAGUGGCCUUUGUCCAGGGAAGGUGGCUACAGAGCUGUGACUUGACUCCUUGCUGUAAGCUUGAGCUUUGAACUUUACCAAAUGGUUUCCUCCACUCCGCUCCAUUCAGCAUGCGGCCUGGGCGAGGCUCUUCAGUCCAGGCCUGAGACUUCACUGGUACGAAGGCGGCAAGGCCCAGAGCCCACGCUGGGCCAUUUCAGCAUCGACUGACAGGGACGUGGUGUCACCCCCGAUGGCACUGUGAUAACCGGCACGACAGAGGAUGGGAACUUCGCAGGGCGGCACAGGAAGAGAAGCUGCACGAGCUGGCUGGGGUGGUGCUGACUCUGGGCACAGUGGCUUCUCAUCGCCGCGAGGUGUCCUGACCAUGACUGGGUGGCUGCCACUGCCACCAUACCCCAGCCUCUUCCUUGGCCGUCGCCGGCGGUCAGGGCUGCCAUCCCUACGGCAUCUGUGGACCAUGGUGUGGUAUGCACUGUGCGACAGGCAGGACUCCCUCCCCACAUGGAUUCUUCAGUGUGGCAGGCAAGGCCAGAGUGGCGCCUUCCCAUGACAGGUCCGCCGUGACCACUUCCUGACAGAGGGAGGAAGCAGCACUUCUCUAGUGCCCGUCAGAGCUGAGCCUGGGCCAGUGGCAGAGCACAUGUCCCAAGAGUCGUCACUGCUUUAGCAGAAGGGACGGAAUCAUAUUCCACAGGGAAGCCAGGCCACCACUCUGUGAGCUCCAAGCACGAGGCAGCAAAGUGUGGAAAGAGGAGGGCUCUGAGCCUGCUGCCCGGGCUCACCUGCCGGCUGUGCUGUGGGUCUCUAUGCCUCGGGGUCCACAGCGACAGGGCUGAGAGUUAAGGGAUCAGAUGCACGCGAAGCUCUGAGAACGGACCGGACGCAGUCCCAUCGCAGCAGUGGAUUCUGUGCUUCCACACUUGACUGCUGCCCGGUGGCGUCUGUCACUGCUCAGCUUUGGCUGGGGCAGCUGGAGAGGGACUGCGACGCGGCCAGGCACCCUGUUCUCAGGAGGCGCAGUGCGGCUUCUCCACUGCUGAAGACAGCAUCGGCUGCAUGUUUUGCUGCCUCGAUUUUGCUGUAAUUUUGGAGAUGGAAUUUCAUAAAGAAUUUUAUGUUUUCUAUCAUGAUUGUUAAGUUUGCAGUAUUUAAAAAUAGAUGUGUAAAGGAUAACACAAUG